rnacentral:rRNA from 2 species
AUGGCCAGGCUGUCUCCACCCGAGACUCAGUGAAAUUGAACUCGCUGUGAAGAUGCAGUGUACCCGCGGCAAGACGGAAAGACCCCGUGAACCUUUACUAUAGCUUGACACUGAACAUUGAGCCUUGAUGUGUAGGAUAGGUGGGAGGCUUUGAAGUGUGGACGCCAGUCUGCAUGGAGCCGACCUUGAAAUACCACCCUUUAAUGUUUGAUGUUCUAACGUUGGCCCGUAAUCCGGGUUGCGGACAGUGUCUGGUGGGUAGUUUGACUGGGGCGGUCUCCUCCUAAAGAGUAACGGAGGAGCACGAAGGUUGGCUAAUCCUGGUCGGACAUCAGGAGGUUAGUGCAAUGGCAUAAGCCAGCUUGACUGCGAGCGUGACGGCGCGAGCAGGUGCGAAAGCAGGUCAUAGUGAUCCGGUGGUUCUGAAUGGAAGGGCCAUCGCUCAWCGGAUAAAAGGUACUCCGGGGAUAACAGGCUGAUACCCGCCCAAGAGUUUCAUAUCGACGGCGGUGUUUUGGCACCUCGAUGUCGGCUCAUCACAUCCUGGGGCUGAAKWAGRUCCCAAGGGUAAUGGSUGUUSRYSCAUUUAAAGUGGUACCCGAGCUGGGUUUAAAACGUCGUGAGAAAAUUUCGUCCCUACCUGC